rnacentral:misc_RNA from 1 species
GUACUCUCACACUCUCCGAUCCUUUGGAUUUGGGGAGCGGUGGACUUGGGUGCUUGCCGCUUUCGUUGGUGGCUCACCUCAAAUGCGUUAGUGCAUCUCUUGAUUGGACAUAGUACGGCGUGAUAAGUGUCUUCGCCGGCACCUCAUAAUAAGAGGGUGGCUGAUCGAGAGCUCUGUGCUUUCAAACCGUCUUCGGACAAACCUGACA